AAACAAUAUACUUGUUUGUCGGUAUAAAAACAAAGGCAUCUGAUAUUCUUUGUGCCAUAAGGGUGGAAUCUGCCGCCGACUGGUAAUAAGAUCGUCAAUAGUCCUCGAACUCUUUUGUACAGUAAAAAGAAAGCAAAAACUUAAAAGUGGGUAGAUAUAACUUGUUCUUAAAAUUUAUGAGGCAUUUGGCUAAGGACUCCUCAGAAGUGUCAUCCG
rnacentral:lncRNA from 1 species